GGAGGUUAUUGUCCUCAUUUACAAUGAAGAAUACCUUAGGGCUCCUUUAUAAUUGAGAUUAUAGUAAAUAG
rnacentral:tRNA from 1 species